GCUUCCGUAGCUCAGUUGGUUAGAGCUUCGUACUAAUACUUCGGGUCGUUUCGGCCACUAGUCUUGGUAAUGCGAAGGUCGCAGGUUCAAGCCCUGCCGGGAGCA
rfam:Trichoderma reesei QM6a unplaced genomic scaffold TRIREscaffold_6, whole genome shotgun sequence.